GACGAACGCUGGCGGCGUGCUUAACACAUGCAAGUCGAACGGAAAGGCCCUGCUUUUGUGGGGUGCUCGAGUGGCGAACGGGUGAGUAACACGUGAGUAACCUGCCCUUGACUUUGGGAUAACUUCAGGAAACUGGGGCUAAUACCGGAUAGGAGCUCCUGCUGCAUGGUGGGGGUUGGAAAGUUUCGGCGGUUGGGGAUGGACUCGCGGCUUAUCAGCUUGUUGGUGGGGUAGUGGCUUACCAAGGCUUUGACGGGUAGCCGGCCUGAGAGGGUGACCGGCCACAUUGGGACUGAGAUACGGCCCAGACUCCUACGGGAGGCAGCAGUGGGGAAUAUUGCACAAUGGGCGGAAGCCUGAUGCAGCAACGCCGCGUGCGGGAUGACGGCCUUCGGGCUGUAAACCGCCUUCGCCUGUGACGAAGCGUGAGUGACGGUAAUGGGUAAAGAAGCACCGGCUAACUACGUG
rnacentral:rRNA from 1 species